rnacentral:misc_RNA from 1 species
CUUCGAGCGAGGUUGGCCAUUCUGAUCGGGAGGACGCAUCUUUACGCAUGUGGUGUUUACUGCUAGCAUCCAGCCUCGACAUUGUAUCUGUUUAUUUGCUUUUAUGACAAUUAGUCAUGGCUCAGGAAAAGCUCACCAUACCAGAUAAGUCGAAUGCAGCAAUAAAGGAUAAAGAAAAAGACGCCGAAGAAAAAGAAGCCUCUACGUCGUUGCUGGAAUGUGCCGUCUGCCUGCAACCAUGUAUUCAUCCCGCUCGACUACCGUGUAGUCACAUAUUCUGUUACUUGUGUGUCAAGGGGGUCGCUAAUCAAAGCAAAAAAUGUCCCAUGUGUCGACAAGAAAUUCCUCCAGAUUUUCUUGAAAGACCACAGCUAGUAGAGCUCGACGAGGCACAAAAGGUCACGGAAUGUUUGGAAGAAGAAUACCAAUGGUUCUAUGAAGGCAAAAACGGUUGGUGGCAAUACGACCAGCGUACAAGUCUUGAACUGGAGACUGCAUAUAAGCAAGGUAAAAGGACUUGCGAACUGUUAAUCGCUGGCUUCCUUUACAUAGCCGAUUUCGGAUCCAUGCUCCAAUUACGUCGAAACGAUCCAUCUAGACGCCGAAGAAUUAAACGUGAUUUGUAUAACGUUCCAAAGAAAGGUGUUGCAGGAUUAAGGUUGAAUCCUCAGGAAGAAGAACAAAUUGUCAGAGAAAUAAGAGGAGCGGAAAGACCUGCUAGUCCUGCCAGCGACAAUAUGGGAACAGGAGAUGGUACGAAUACACCGGUACCACCAAGUAAUACUCCACAGACCCCGGCAGGAGGUACAGCGAGUGGUGAUGCCACCCCUUUGACUGACAGGUCAGAUCAGAGGUCCGAUUCGUUUCAUCAGGCACUUGAACAAAUGCGAUCUCUGGUUAGGAGAGAACACCUUUCCUUUGGUAGUGACAACGAACUCGAAGAAGCCCCUGAGAACGAGACCCUCUCAGACCAUACUUCCUUACCAUGGUUGCGAUCUUCCAAUGCUGUAUACUCAUCGGACGAAGACAAUCCAUGAAGGAAACACAUGCCGAGCAUUAACUGUUCGGUCUCUAACAACGGAAUACAGGAAAGAAAUACCCUGUCCGAAGGCCAGAGGAUAUUUAUAUUUUAGAACGUACGUUAACACCAUGUUCGAUUCUACGUAGUUCUCACUUCAAUAUCUCAACGGUUUCUCGAAGAAGUAAAGCUCCGAUGGAUGGGAGACGUUGUCGCUUUAUUCUCUUUGAAGGUAAAGACGGUCCUCCAUUAUUAUACCUUGAUUUUUCACGCUACUUUUGGCAAGGUGUACUUAUCCGAAGAGCAUGCGAGUGCAACGGUUCAGGUGGUUAUCUCGUGUGAAAUUGUGCAAGUUCUUAUUGAACUGUAAUCAUGGAAUUAUAAAUUUCACUAUGUUCAAAUGGUGAAGAAGAAAUGGCAGGAAAUUAGGAUUACGCAUGUGUUCGUGUUGAUUAAUUUGAUUGAAGUAAACUGCUCGAUUCAAUCUGUGUUCUUGUAAAUAAGUAAUAAAAGAUUUAGAUAUAUAAUAUA